GACGAACGCUGGCGGCGUGCUUAACACAUGCAAGUCGAACGGAAAGGCCCUGCUUGCAGGGUACUCGAGUGGCGAACGGGUGAGUAACACGUGGGUGAUCUGCCCUGCACUUCGGGAUAAGCCUGGGAAACUGGGUCUAAUACCGGAUAGGAGCCAUUUUUAGUGUGAUGGUUGGAAAGUUUUUUCGGUGUAGGAUGAGCUCGCGGCCUAUCAGCUUGUUGGUGGGGUAAUGGCCUACCAAGGCGGCGACGGGUAGCCGGCCUGAGAGGGUGGACGGCCACAUUGGGACUGAGAUACGGCCCAGACGCCUACGGGAGGCAGAGGUGGGGAAUAUUGCACAAUGGGCGCAAGCCUGAUGCAGCGACGCCGCGUGGGGGAUGACGGCCUUCGGGUUGUAAACUCCUUUCGCUAGGGACGAAGCUUUUUGUGACGGUACCUAGAUAAGAAGCACCGGCUAACUACGUG
rnacentral:rRNA from 1 species